UGUACAUUCCAACUUUAUAGCAAGGAUGCUGUAAAAAAACCAGCUGCCCUUGAUUAUUGAAAUAUUGCACUACUUGAACAAUUCUAACAUGAAAAAUUGAUGGGAAAUUGAUGCGAAAACCGUGCUCCUUAGAUAGCCAAUUACUUAAUGUCAACUCAGUCAAUCAGUUCUCUAGUCACCUCAAGCAAGAAUUUUGGUUCUUGAUGAAGCCACUACUUCAGUUGAUUCAACUACAGAUAAUCCUAUCCAGCAGAUCAUCUGAACAGAGUUUAGGGACUACACAGUGUGCACUAUUGCUCAUCGUAUCCCAACUGUUAUUGACAGCGAUCUAGUUCUGGUCCCCAGUGAUGGUGCGUACACUAAUACCUCCCAUUUCUUCUUCCAUUUAGUGGACAUAAGUGUUGCUGCAAUCUGUAGAACUUUUUCCUAAGAAUUUUAGUAUAAUCUGCAUUUGGUAAUGUUAUUAAUUUUCACGGGUAUCCAAAAAAAUUUCAUUUCUUUUUCUUUUAAACUUUUGACAAGAUAAAUUAAAUUAGUAAAAGGCUCUAGAAGAGAAAGCUGCCCUUGUAGGUCUGUAGGAACAAUAUCAACACCCACAACUCUUUAGAUAUCUUGCGAUGAAUAAUUCCCGACUCUGCAUCUUGUUUUUCACUAGUAACACCAACUAAGCACAAUGUGUUUGCAUUGAAUCAAAUUUUCCAAGAUUCAUCAAAUUUUUUUGAUGUUCUUGAAAUGAUGGAAACUCAAGGAGAUUGUGGUAUACAAGAGUAUAUAUCUAAGCUUGAUUCUCAGGAUAUGCAGGUGAAUAUGUAUCUUGAUUAAGAGUUAACUUUUAGAAUGUAAAUAUGGGUUUGAGAGAGUUGUUGGUCUUCGACGUCAAAGUCUUAGUAAUUGCUAGAAGCUGAAUGAAGGCUGUUGCUUCUUGAUCCUCUUGUGACCUGUCCCAUCAAAUUUAUUAACAUAAUGUUUCUACAACUCCAAGGUUGUUUGUACAGUCGAUCUUUGUUUUUAUUUUCAUCUCUCUCUCUGAAGUAUCUAAGUAUCAAAGUCACUUAUAGGUCAUAUUCCAUUACAGUUCUGUUUUCAUUUUUCUUUUCGCUUUUCACUUCUAUGAAUUUAUGCAUCUGAAGUACCCAGAAUUUAUUAGAUUUGGAAUCCAUUGAUGCCAAGUUUUAACCGGUAAUCUUUCUUACAGAACAUCAAAACUUGAGUCUAAUAUUUGGAAUUUGUUUUAGAACAAUUUCUUGGUUUUUUUAUCAUUUAAUUCCCAGUGAAAUUUUAGUCUAUGUUGUGUUUCUGCUGUACACACUAACAGAAAGCUCAUGAAACUUAGUUUUGCAGGUCAAGUGACACAGUUUGAUAGUCCAGCAAGGUUAUUAGAUGACAAGUCUUCCAUGUUUCUUAAGUUGGUGUCAGAGUACUCAUCUAGAUCAACUAGCUGCUCUUUGCAUAACCAUUUAGCCUUGUUUUAUAGAUGGAAUCCUUCACUAAUAGCUUGGUUCUUUCUUUCCUUUGAUCACUUGAAUUUCUAAAUUCUAGGGCGUAUUUGGUUUCUAUUUUAGUCAACCAACACUUCACCCCUCAAGAAUUCAAGUUUCUUUUUCAUCAAAAAUUGAGUAUAUAUAUAUUUAUUUAUUUAUCAGUACGUAUUUCUGGGUAAUAUGAAGUGUAUUGAGUGAGAAUUAGCUUCUUGUUGUAGUAGAUGUAUUGGUUAAACUAUCAAUUUUAGUGCUAAAUCUGAUUCUCUGGCCAUUUCUGUUGUUUGUUAUGUUUAGCCAUUUGUUUAUUUUGGGUACUUGGAACUUUAACUGGUUUAUAAAAUACUCUCUUUGGUUUAUUUUUCUCUUUGGCCAUUUCUCUUUGGUUUAUUUUUCUGUCACUAGUUUGCUUUUUUAGGUGUGCUAUUGAUGUGUAAGUAAUGGGUUUGUGACAUUCAUUUCAAAGGUUGUUUCUUGUAGUGAUUGAUUUAUCUUAAUCUAUUAUGGUUUAAUGGUAAGGGAGGGUAAUAACAGCUGA